rnacentral:tRNA from 1 species
GCCUUCGUAGUGUAGUGGUCAGCCCGCUGGGCACGUAUCCAGAGGUCCGUGGUUCGAGUCCCGGUGAAGAUA